UACACUCCUGCGGGAGGCAGCAGUGGGGAAUAUUGCACAAUGGGCGCAAGCCUGAUGCAGCCAUGCCGCGUGUAUGAAGAAGGCCUUCGGGUUGUAAAGUACUUUCAGCGGGGAGGAAGGCGAUAAGGUUAAUAACCUUGUCGAUUGACGUUACCCGCAGAAGAAGCACCGGCUAACUCCGUGCCAGCAGCCGCGGUAAUACGGAGGGUGCAAGCGUUAAUCGGAAUUACUGGGCGUAAAGCGCACGCAGGCGGUCUGUCAAGUCGGAUGUGAAAUCCCCGGGCUCAACCUGGGAACUGCAUUCGAAACUGGCAGGCUAGAGUCUUGUAGAGGGGGGUAGAAUUCCAGGUGUAGCGGUGAAAUGCGUAGAGAUCUGGAGGAAUACCGGUGGCGAAGGCGGCCCCCUGGACAAAGACUGACGCUCAGGUGCGAAAGCGUGGGGAGCAAACAGGAUUAGAAACCCCAGUAGUCCCA
rnacentral:rRNA from 1 species